rnacentral:rRNA from 1 species
GAUGAACGCUAGCUACAGGCUUAACACAUGCAAGUCGAGGGGCAGCAUGAACUUAGGCUUGCUAAGUUUGAUGGCGACCGGCGCACGGGUGAGUAACACGUAUCCAACCUUCCGUUUACUCAGGGAUAGCCUUUCGAAAGAAAGAUUAAUACCUGAUAGUAUGGUGAGAUUGCAUGAUAGCACCAUUAAAGAUUUAUUGGUAAACGAUGGGGAUGCGUUCCAUUAGGUAGUAGGCGGGGUAACGGCCCACCUAGCCGACGAUGGAUAGGGGUUCUGAGAGGAAGGUCCCCCACAUUGGAACUGAGACACGGUCCAAACUCCUACGGGAGGCAGCAGUGAGGAAUAUUGGUCAAUGGGCGAGAGCCUGAACCAGCCAAGUAGCCGUGAAGGAUGAAGGUCCUA